rnacentral:rRNA from 1 species
UACGGAGGAUGCAAGCGUUAUCCGGAAUGAUUGGGCGUAAAGAGUCCGUAGGUGGUGAUUCAAGUCGAUUGUUAAAGAGCGGGGCUUAAACCCCGUAGAAGCAGUGGAAACUGAAUCGCUAGAAGAGAGGUAGGGGUAGAGGGAAUUCCCGGUGUAGCGGUGAAAUCGCGUAGAGAUCGGGAGGAACACCAGUGGCGAAGGCGGCGAUCUGGGAAGAUACUGACGCUGAGGUGCGAAAGCGUGGGAGCAACAGG